GAUGAACGCUAGCGGGAGGCUUAAUACAUGCAAGUCGAGGGGUAACAUGAGAGCUUGCUCUUGAUGACGACCGGCGCACGGGUGAGUAACGCGUACACAACCUACCUCUAAGUGGGGAAUAGCCUUUGGAAACGAAGAGUAAUACCCCAUAGCAUUAUUUCUUUUAUGAUGAAAUAAUUAAAGCUCCGGCGCUUAGAGAUGGGUGUGCGUCCCAUUAGCUUGUUGGUAAGGUAACGGCUUACCAAGGCGACGAUGGGUAGGGGCGUGAGAGCGUGACCCCCCANACGGGUACUGAGACACGGACCCGA
rnacentral:rRNA from 1 species